UAAGUUUCAUAUUAAAGACCGGAGCUCAACUCCGUGUUUGUAUGGAAAACUAUUUACCUAGAAUUAGGGAGAGGCAAACGGAAUGGUAAGAGUAGAGGUGCAAUUCGUAGAUACUUACCAGAACACCAAAAGCGAAGGCAGUUUACUGGAACUAUAUUGACGCUGAGAGACGAAAGCGUGGGGAGCGAAAAGGAUUAGAUACCCUUGUAGUCCACGCCCUAAACGAUGAUAAUUAAGUGUCGGGCCUUGUGCUCGGUGCUGUAGCAAACGCGUUAAAUUAUCCACCUGAGGAGUACGGUCGCAAGACUAAAACUCAAAUGAAUAGACGGGGACCCACACAAGCAGUGGAUCAUGCGGUUUAAUUCGACAUUAAACGGAGAAUCUUACCCAGGCUUGACAUCUACAGAAUCUUUGAGAAAUCAGAGAGUGCCCGUAAGGGAACUGUAAGACAGGCGCUGCAUGGUUGUCGUCAGCUCGUGCCUUGAGGUGUUCGGUUAAGUCCGUUAACGAGCGCAACCCAUGUCAUUAGUUACUAUGUCUAAUGAGACUGCCCGAGUUAAUCGGGGGGAAGGUGUGGAUGACGUCAAAUCAGCAUGGCCCUUAUGCCUGGGGCCACACGCAUGAUACAAUGGUCGGUACAAAGAGCAGCGAUGUGGUAACACGGAGCCAAUCUCAUAAAGCCGAUCUCAGUCCGGAUUGAGGUCUGAAACUCGACCUCAUGAAGUUGGAAUUG
rnacentral:rRNA from 1 species